rnacentral:rRNA from 1 species
GACGAACGCUGGCGGCGUGCCUAAUACAUGCAAGUCGAGCGAACCAAUAAGAAGCUUGCUUUUUGUUGGUUAGCGGCGGACGGGUGAGUAACACGUGGGUAACCUGCCUGUAAGACCGGGAUAACUCCGGGAAACCGGUGCUAAUACCGGAUAGAUUAUCUUUCCGCAUGGAGAGAUAAGGAAAGAUGGCUAUUGCCAUCACUUACAGAUGGGCCCGCGGCGCAUUAGCUAGUUGGUGAGGUAACGGCUCACCAAGGCGACGAUGCGUAGCCGACCUGAGAGGGUGAUCGGUCACACUUGGACUGAGACACGGCCCAGACUCCUACGGGAAGCAGCAGUAGGGAAUCUUCCGCAACAGACGAAAGUCUGAGGGAGCAACGCCGCUUGAGCGAAGAAGGUCUUCCGAUCGUAAAGCGCUGUUGUUAGGGAAGAACAAGUAUCGGAGGAAAUGCCGGUACCUUGACGGUACCUGACUAGAAAGCCACGGCUAACUACGUG